rnacentral:rRNA from 1 species
UACGUAGGGUGCAAGCGUUUAAUCGGAAUUACUGGGCGUAAAGCGUGCGCAGGCGGUUUUGUAAGUCUGUCGUGAAAUCCCCGGGCUCAACCUGGGAAUUGCGAUGGAGACUGCAAGGCUAGAAUCUGGCAGAGGGGGGUAGAAUUCCACGUGUAGCAGUGAAAUGCGUAGAGAUGUGGAGGAACACCGAUGGCGAAGGCAGCCCCCUGGGUCAAGAUUGACGCUCAUGCACGAAAGCGU